AACUCUCUCUUUCUGAAAUCCCUCAUAUCUCUCUUUCUCAAUCCCUAAAUUUCUCCAUGCCUCAGAUCUCCAGCCUCUCACUGCACCUCUCGCACGAUCGACUAUCGCCUUUAGCCUUUCCGAAUAAAUGGCCUUUGAAUCGAGCUCAUCCUCGUCUCCUCUGGUGGGUCAAUGGAAGUUGAGCGCCACCUCUGCUUGCUCGGGACGCCGCCUCCUUCGGUCCCAUCGCCCCCGCUGGCCGGGGUGAAGAAGUUGAGCACGGACUAUGCUGGUUCUGAGAGGAUUGGAUCUACAAACACUUUGAUGCUGCAAAUAAAAAUGAAGAAGGCAGAGUUGAACAUAAAUGAAAAGGCAUUGUAAAUGUGUGUAUGUGCUGAGACAGACUUCAAAGAAAUUAUUUUGCAACAGUUUGCAAGAGGUAUGCUUCUAACUUUUAUUUUAAUACUAUGCAAAUGUUAGAGGAGUUUGAAUAUUUUCAAUAUUCAUCCAUAGUGAAGUAGGUUCUAAGAUUGUUAUUGUGUGCUGCGGUGAUAACGGAAUGUUGAGAACUUGUGUGUUUUAGUGAAGUAGGAUCUGAGAAAUUUGUGUGCUGCGGAGAUAAGAAAGAAAACUUGUGUGUUGUUUGAAUUGAUGUAGACUUGUCUAUGAUCAUCCUAUAAUUGAAUUGUGUUUGUUUGAUUGGUUUGAUUAUAACAUAUACUUGUAUGAAUGUACAUAUUGCGUGUUGGCAUACGCAUAUAGCAUAACCUUUUGUAUUUCUUGUUUUGUAUAUGUUAGUUUUCUUCUUGUCCCUUGUCUAAUGUCUUUAGUGAGGUGAUUUAUAACAUUGAGCAUCACUUUUGGUUCUUGUGAUCACAUGUAGGUUCAAUAGUAUCAAGUGCUAUACAAAAGUUUGAUGUUAUUAGCUGUAAAGUCCAAGAACUUUACUUAGCUAAUUAUUUAGUAGUAUUAUAGUAUGUAUAGUAUUAUCUUUGUUACGGUGGAUUUUUGGUUCAGACCGGGAAUUAUUUGGACACUCAUAGUAGUACUUAUAAAUUUUCUAAGUUUAACCUAUAGUUUAAGAAUAUUAAGUAUAACCUAAGGUUUGAUUAUAUGACUGAUAUUAAGGAUAAUAUUUGUUAUACUAUAAGGUUUAGAUAUCAACCAAUAGGAUUUUAAGCACAUGUUAUGAAUGGGUGAUUAAGGAAUUAAGUAUUUUGAGUAUUUAAUUUAAUAAGGAGUAAAGUUUGAAUGUUAUAGGAUCAGUCAGCAGCUUUGAAUACGUUGAGGGCUUAGUUAGGGUUGUUUACUCCAUUCAAACUUAGCUAAAAAUGUGUAAUUUCGUGUUUAAAUAUUCAGCGUGUGCCGAUAUAUCGCAGCUAUAGGGGGCGAUAUAUCGUAGCAUGUAGAUACGGAAAACAUGAGACGAUGCACGGUCGCCUCGGGCAUACUGGCCUAGGCGAUAUAUCGCCUACAGGGGCGAUAUAUUGCCUCCUUCAGUGUAUUUUCAAAUGUUUUUGAAUUCUUUUCCUUUCAGCUAUUCAAACUCUUGAUAAGUCCAGCAUCUUUCUGAACGAGUCUUCGGCCUUUGCUGAACGAUUAUUCAAAUAUUUUUCACCUAAAAAGCUAUUAUGUUUAUUCACGUAAAAUCAAGAUCCUUUCAUUCCUAAACUCUAUAAAUAGGACCUAGUACCCAGCCAUUAUUCACCUUUUGCUCUAAGUUCAGAGGCUGCAAGUGCUAAGUGAGUGUGAGAGUAUAAACACUUGGGUUUUGGGGAAAUCAUAAGCUUAAACAUCAUAAGCUUAUCAAACACUUUGGGAAGUAAGGUUCUAUAGUAUUUUGGUUGUGGUGUAGAUUGAUCUUACAAGUCUUUGAGGUAAACCAAAACUCUAGUUCAUUUGUUUUAUGUUAUUUCCUUUUUCAUAACCUUCUACUCAGUCUCCUAACCUCAUUCUUAUUUUGGUUAGGAAAUCUAAGCUCUUGAGCACAUAGGUUUCGGUAAGCAUGUUUUUCAAUGGAUUAGUCUUCCCAUUUCCUUUUCAUCUCUUUUCUUCAUUAGACUCACCCUGUUAUUUAUGGUUUUAGGAGUGUUCCAAAAAGUCCCAACGCUGUCCUCUUAUCCCGGUAACUUUGGUAAGGAAAAUAGGCUAGAAUCAAUAUGUUAUAUGUUUAUGUUAUUUUAUGUUUUAUGUUAUUAAAUGUGUCAUGAUAUGUAUAUAUGUAUGUUUGUAGGCUUGGGCAUAUGACCCAUAUGACUAACAAGACCCCAAAUGGGUUAUGGGCAUAUGACCUACUUAGCUAGUAGGACCUCACUAAUCCUAUGGGCAUAUGACUUGUUUAGUCUAUGGGACUCCAAGUAAUAAUGGUCAUUAUAAUAAGUGUAUGUAAUAAGUGUUAUGAUAUGUCUUUACGUUUAUUAUGAAAUUUUAUGUUUAUGGCUAUGUGUUAGAUUUUCCUUGCUGGGCAUUAGGCUCAUUCCUUUUGUUUUAUGUGCAGGAAAAUAGCUAUAGAGGCGGUAAGAUUCGUGGACGCUUAGAGGAUGUGUAUCGAUGAUGAAUGGAAUCAGGGAGUCGAGAGUUCGAUUUCUCGAGGAUGUAGUCUUGUUUUACUUUUUAUGGUUUUACAUGCUAAAACUCUACUUGGAUAUUUAAGAGAACUAAGACAAUUAUAUAAGAGAACCAAGGCAACACGAAAUUCUUCUUCAAGUUGUUGGGUAUUAUUUUCUUUCUUGCUUGUAAGAAUUAUGUACAGUGAGGAUUUGAUGUAUUAUUUACAUCGAGAAUAAUGAAUUUUUAUUGAGAAUUAUAAUGAAUUUUCAUUGAGACUUAUUUAGUCUCAUGGGGAUUAGAUGUAUUAUUUACAUUUCAAUUGUAUGAAUAAAUGUUGUAUGUA